rnacentral:rRNA from 1 species
CACGUAGGGGGCAAGCGUUGUCCGGAUUUAUUGGGCGUAAAGAGCUCGUAGGCGGCUCAGUAAGUCGGGUGUGAAACCUCCAGGCUCAACCUGGAGACGCCACCUGAUACUGCUGUGGCUAGAGUCCGGUAGGGGAGCGUGGAAUUCCUGGUGUAGCGGUGAAAUGCGCAGAUAUCAGGAGGAACACCAGCGGCGAAGGCAGCACUCUGGGACGUGACUGACGCUGAGACGCGAAAGCGUGGGGAGCAAACAGG